rnacentral:rRNA from 1 species
AUUGAACGCUGGCGGCAGGCCUAACACAUGCAAGUCGAACGGUAACAGGGAUCAGCUUGCUGAUUCGCUGACGAGUGGCGGACGGGUGAGUAAUGUCUGGGAAACUGCCUGAUGGAGGGGGAUAACUACUGGAAACGGUAGCUAAUACCGCAUAACGUCGCAAGACCAAAGAGGGGGACCUUCGGGCCUCUUGCCAUCGGAUGUGCCCAGAUGGGAUUAGCUAGUAGGUGGGGUAACGGCUCACCUAGGCGACGAUCCCUAGCUGGUCUGAGAGGAUGACGGGCCACACGGAAACGGGGACCGGGCCCAGACCCCAGGGGAGGGCAGGGGGGGGGAAUUUUGCAAAAGGGGGGCAAGCGUAAGGCAGCCAGGCCGGGGGGUUGAAAAAGGCCUUGGGGUUGUAAAGUAUUUUCGGGGGGGGGGAGGGGAGUAAAGUUAAAACCUUUGCUCAUUGACUUUACCCGCAAAAGAAGCCCCGGCUAACUCCGU